UUUCCAUAGGUGAACCUGCGGAAGGAUCAUUAUUGUAUAACCGAGGUGCGAGGGCUGUCGCUGACCCGAAAGGUCGUGCACGCCCGAGUGCCCUCACACACAUCCAUCUCACCCCUAUGUGCACCACCGCGUGGGUCCCCCUUUGGCUUGUUCGGAGGGGGGCUUACGUUUUCACACAAACUUUGUAUGCAGUGUAGAAUGUAUUUUUGUUUUUGCGAUCACGCAAUCAAUACAACUUUCAACAACGGAUCUCUUGGCUCUC
rnacentral:misc_RNA from 1 species